rnacentral:rRNA from 1 species
GGAUCAUUAUCGAGUGUUAAAACUCCCAAACCCCUGUGAACAUACCUAUGUUGCUUCGGCGGUUUCGUCCCGGGCGCCCUGUGUGUCCCGGAGCUAGGCGGCCGCCGGAGGAUACAAACUCUUGUUUUAUUGAGAAUCUUCUGAGUAUAACAAACAAAUAAAUUAAAACUUUCAACAACGGAUCUCUUGGUUCUGGCAUCGAUGAAGAACGCAGCGAAAUGCGAAAAGUAAUGUGAAUUGCAGAAUUCAGUGAAUCAUCGAAUCUUUGAACGCACAUUGCGCUCGCCAGUAUUCUGGCGAGCAUGCCUGUCUGAGCGUCAUUUCAACCCUCAAGUCCCCUUGGACUUGGUGUUGGGGAUCGACCCGCCCCCUGUGGGAGGGCCGUCCCCUAAAUCUAGUGGCGGACCCGCUGUGGCCUCCUCUGCGUAGUAGUGAUACCCCGCAUGUGGAGUGCAGUGAGCCCCUGCCGUUAAACCCCCAACUUUUUCAGGUUGACCUCAGAUCAGGUAGGAAU